rnacentral:tRNA from 1 species
AGCGGGGUGGAGCAGUCUGGUAGCUCGUCGGGCUCAUAACCCGAAGGUCGUUGGUUCAAAUCCAGCUCCCGCAA